rnacentral:rRNA from 1 species
GGAUUAGAUACCCUGGUAGUCCACACCGUAAACGAUGAGAGCUAGUUGUUGGCAGGCAUGCCUGUCGGUGACGCAGCUAACGCAUUAAGCUCUCCGCCUGGGGAGUACGGCCGCAAGGUUAAAACUCAAAGAAAUUGACGGGGGCCCGCACAAGCGGUGGAGCAUGUGGUUUAAUUCGAAGCAACGCGCAGAACCUUACCUACCCUUGACAUCCCGAUCGCGGUUUCCAGAGAUGGAUUCCUUCAGUUAGGCUGGAUCGGUGACAGGUGCUGCAUGGCUGUCGUCAGCUCGUGCCG